UGUACUGUAGCAAGUAUAAUAUUCGUUCGUAACCCAUACCUGGUCUAAUGCACUUCAGGAGAAAAUGAGCGAGUUCGAUAGUAAAGUAUAGCGUUCAUUUUUAAGUCUAUUAAUUUUACUUCAGAACAACAUCCGAUGAGCGAAGUUUAAGAUACUCUUGAUCAGCUCCAGAUGGAAGCUCCCGAAUCAAGCCAUAAAUUUCCUUAUUGUGAUAUCUUAAUCUAGUUUUGGGAUCUGUGUAAAUAGCCAGUAAUCCAGUAACAUCGCAAUAUUUCGGUUGAGGGAGGACACUAGGCGGUGCUUCUAUCGAUGAGUAAGAAAAUUUGCUUGGUUCAUUUUGUACUGGGUCAUUUUGAAUAAUUUGUCGUAGAUUCCGAUUUCGCCUAGGUUGUGCUUUAUAAUUGGGAUUUCGAAAUGGCCUUGCAAGUAAACUGAUGUCUAAACUAUCGACAGAACUGUUUUUUUCCAUGAAACUGAUAAUCUUGAUGAUUUGGCUAUGGCAAAUUGAAAGCCGCACUUCUUCUAUGUAUCGUUGUAUCCUUGACUACCAUUACUAAAGGUUCGUCUGAUGUCGUUAAUUCAGCUCAAGCCAUUAGUGAACGAGUAUUAACACGCCCUCCUUA